UGAAAGAGUUGCAAGGAUCGGCAACUAGAGCAAAUUCUCCUCAAAGUAUAGUUUCCUGUGAAGAUUUUUUGUGGCCACAUCAGAUGGGUAAGGUUUUCAUCUAUGCGUGAUCAUAAAGCGAGAGCUCUCCCCUUCUGUCCCUUGAACUGGAUCAUGUUAUCACAUGCCCUGUAUUUUGGUUGGAGUUUUUAAUUUCCAUAUUCUUUGGGUUUGUAUUGCCUUGGACAAAUGUGUGUAGAUUUGUUGUCGUAUUAUUUUUAAGUAACUUUUUGUGUAGGCAUCAAGGUUUCAUCGUGUGGGCCUCAAAGGUAGGCCUAGGCAGCAUUGUAAUGCCUGCUGGUACCGGCCUAGCCGGGUGUCUCUUGAAAUGCCCUUUGGGUUCUGAAAUUCAGAUUCUACUCAUGGAUGCAGUCAGAGGAUUUGUGUAUUGAACAAAGGCUGAUGGAAUAUUUAGUCCUGCCAAGCCUGGUCCUUGUUUUAAAGUACAAUGUCCCCUUCUUGGUGAGCUCUCCUAACCAACCGCUCUAUUAGGAAUUGGGGUCUGCCCCCUUCCCUACGGCCCCCACACACCUUAUUAUCUUUCCUCUACAUUAUUUUUCUAUGGCUCUUCUUACAAACUGACUGACUUGUAUAGUGAAUUUAUUUUUCUGUGUUGUGUUUCUUCCCUCCCCUCCACCCUCUGACUUUCUAGAAUGUACGCUCCACAAGGGCAGGGGGUUUUAGCUGUUACAUUGUGUUUCUUAAUCAAAAAAGAGGCCAUUAUGUCAAUUGGACGCACCCCUCGGGUUCUUAAAAAGGAAAACUAGGAGCUGAUGUGGAUUCCUUUGUGCCCUCUAGUCCUGCCUUCAGUGACGUCUGGCGCCCGUGUUCAGGUGACUGGCCUGAGCCGUGUGUGCAGGCCACAGUGCUGCCCCUGCUGCGGCCUUUUGUCCUCAGACCCUCGGCUUUAGUGCAGCACUCAAGCUGAUGCCACUGGUACUUUUUACACUAGACUCUUAUUUUGACUUGGACCGUGUGAGACCAUUUGACUGUUAUCCAAAGUGCUCAGUCAAAAAUGGACUGACUAAUGAAUCAUUCGAUCCCAAAUCACCACAAUAUAGGGGAAUGAGAGACUUUGAAGCCAAGGUGUAUGUUCAUACAUCUUGCCAUCUCUUCCCAAAUAUAGUCUGAAAGUUUUUAAGAUAAAUUGACUUUAACAAAUCGUCCUGAGUUUAAGCAAGACCUUUGCUUACUGUAUAAGCUGGCAGGCUCCCACAGUGAAGUGCCAUCAUGAUCCUUUCCUUCAACGGGGCAUAAAGGACUACCCCAGCCCCAGGGGAUUGGCAUGAUUGUUAGUAGGUAUUUGGUCUUCCCCAACCUGGUUUUUCAUUAACGAUCCCAAUAUUGGCAGUAACACUGGGGGCUUGUCUCCUGCGGCCCCCGUGUGUAAACAUUAUCAAGGCUUUCUCGAGGGCUGGGGGAGCUUUUAGCCCAGGAUCCCUCUCGGCUCGGGAGAGGAUAAACUGCUUUCCUUGGGGGAAAAUCUCUCAUCUGUGGAUUAGGGGCAUUACCCCAGAUGGUCAUAAAAUUUCUUCUCUUCAGUUUUAUUAUUUGAAAAUGUGUAGUAGAUGAAUGAUUUAGAAAAGAUCUCUCAAAGGCCAAGGGACCAAUUUAGAAUUACAUCUCUUAGAAGAGUUUAUUAAAAGUGUAAUAAAUGGGUUUAAGGUGCCAGUUAUCACAUAAGUCUGGUUUGCUUUUUACGUGAAUCAUAAUCUCAUAAGGCAACCUUUUCCUUACUGUGUGCUGCUUUGAUUUUGUGAUAGGAAUUCAGUUCAUUGUCCUUGCAAUAAUUUUUGCUCCUCUAGAGGGAGGUGUGCUCUUGAAUUCUAAUCGUUAACGUGCGGUGCAGGCUGCAUGAAUGGCGGGCAGGCUGUCGAUUGCUGGAACUUUAAGAUACGUGGGGUACAUAGGACUAAUCAAGGUGAUCUCUUUACAUUCCCCACAAAGAAGGAUUCAAUGAACUGAUGCUGAUGCUAGUGGGUGUGUGCUUGGUGGUUGAUUCCUUAGCUCCUGAGGAAAUAACUGCACAGUAACAUUUUCCAAAACUUACGGCUCAUUUAAUCGGGUUGUUUGUUUUACCUUAAAAUAAUACACAUCCUUCAAGAAGAGAGUAGCAACCACACAAAAAUAGACUUCUAAAUAGACUGGGAGUCUGACAUGCUGUUAGCUCGCUGAGACUCACUUCAUGUUUCCAGGCCUCAGUUUCCUGCUCUGUAAAAUAAAGAUGUUGGAGUGAUGACAUCUCUAGUCGUUCUGGAGCUGCGCUUUUCAAUAUGGUAGCCACUGGCCACAUGUGUGCUGAGCCUUUGCAGUGUGGCUAGUCUGGUUUGUAAGUAAAAUAGGCACUGGAUUUUGAAGACUCAGUAUGAAAAAGAUACAUAAAGUAACUUAGUAAUUCUUUAAUAUUUAUUACUUGUUUAAAUGAUAAUAUUUUGCUUAUAUCGGGU
ensembl:lncRNA